rnacentral:rRNA from 1 species
UGGGGAAUCUUGCACAAUGGGGGAAACCCUGAUGCAGCGACGCCGCGUGAGCGAUGAAGCCCUUCGGGGUGUAAAGCUCUUUCGGCAGGAACGAUAAUGACGGUACCUGAAGAAGAAGUUGCGGCUAACUACGUGCCAGCAGCCGCGGUAAUACGUAGGCAGCAAGCGUUGUUCGGAGUUACUGGGCGUAAAGAGUGCGUAGGCGGUGCUCUAAGUUUGGUGUGAAAUCUCCCGGCUUAACUGGGAGGGUGCGCCGAAAACUGGAGUGCUUGAGUAUGGGAGAGGCAAGCGGAAUUCCUGGUGUAGCGGUGAAAUGCGUAGAUAUCAGGAGGAACACCUGUGGUGUAGACAGCUUGCUGGACCAUCACUGACGCUGAGGCACGAAAGCGUGGGUAGCAAAC